GUCCUGUGGCGCAAUGGGUAGCGCACUGGACUUCUAAUCCAAUCUUCGUGGAUUCGAAUCCCACCUGGGAUG